AUAAGCGCACACGGUGGAUGCCUAGGCGGUCAGAGGCGAUGAAGGACGUGGUAGCCUGCGAAAAGUGUCGGGGAGCUGGCAACAAGCUUUGAUCCGGCAAUAUCCGAAUGGGGAAACCCACUGCUUCGGCAGUAUCCUGCAGUGAAUUCAUAGCUGCUGGAAGCGAACCCGGUGAACUGAAAUAUCUAAGUAACCGGAGGAAAAGAAAUCAACCGAGAUUCCCUAAGUAGUGACGAGCGAACGGGGAGCAGCCCUUAAGCUGGAAUGGCUUUAGAAAAACAAUCUGGAAAGAUUGGCCAUAGAAGGUGAUAGCCCUGUAUUUAAAAGGGCCACUCCAGUGAAGACGAGUAGGGCGGGGCACGUGAAACCCUGUCUGAAUAUGGGGGGACCAUCCUCCAAGGCUAAAUACUCCUGACCGACCGAUAGUGAACCAGUACCGUGAGGGAAAGGCGAAAAGAACCCCGGAGAGGGGAGUGAAAUAGAUCCUGAAACCGUGUGCGUACAAGCAGUAGGAGCUCGCAAGAGUGACUGCGUACCUUUUGUAUAAUGGGUCAGCGACUUACUGUUCGUGGCAAGCUUAACCGUAUAGGGGAGGCGAAGGGAAACCGAGUCUGAUAAGGGCGCAUAGUCGCGGGCAGUAGACCCGAAACCGGGUGAUCUAGUCAUGGCCAGGGUGAAGGUGCCGUAACAGGUACUGGAGGCCCGAACCCACGUCUGUUGCAAAAGACGGGGAUGAGCUGUGAUUAGGAGUGAAAAGCUAAUCGAACCCGGAGAUAGCUGGUUCUCCUCGAAAGCUAUUUAGGUAGCGCCUCAUAUGUAUCCUCUCGGGGGUAGAGCACUGUUAUGGCUAGGGGGUCAUCGCGACUUACCAAACCAUUGCAAACUCCGAAUACCGAGACGGACUGUAUGGGAGACACACGGCGGGUGCUAACGUCCGUCGUGAAAAGGGAAACAACCCAGACCCACAGCUAAGGUCCCAAAUUCACUGCUAAGUGGAAAACGAUGUGGAAAGGCAUAGACAGCCAGGAGGUUGGCUUAGAAGCAGCCACCCUUUAAAGAAAGCGUAAUAGCUCACUGGUCGAGUCGGUCUGCGCGGAAGAUUUAACGGGGCUAAGCAGUGAACCGAAGCUUGGGGUGCAUAAAACUUGUUUUAUGCGCGGUAGAGGAGCGUUCCGUAAGCCUGCGAAGGUGGAUUGAGAAGUCUGCUGGAGGUAUCGGAAGUGCGAAUGCUGACAUGAGUAACGAUAAUGCGGGUGAAAAGCCCGCACGCCGAAAGCCCAAGGUUUCCUUGCGCAACGUUAAUCGACGCAGGGUUAGUCGGUCCCUAAGGCGAGGGCGAAAGCCGUAGUCGAUGGGAAGCAGGUUAAUAUUCCUGCACCUCGCGUGAGUGCGAUGGAGGGACGGAGAAGGUUAGGUGUACCGGGCGUUGGUUGUCCCGGGGAAAGGCGGUAGGUUUGGAUCUUUGGCAAAUCCGGGAUCCUUUAAGACCGAGCACCGAGACGAGCCUUUAUGGCGAAGUCACUGAUACCACGCUUCCAGGAAAAGCUCCUAAGCUUCAGCUCACGAAGACCGUACCGUAAACCGACACAGGUGGGUAGGAUGAGAAUUCUCAGGCGCUUGAGAGAACUCGGGUGAAGGAACUAGGCAACAUGGCACCGUAACUUCGGGAGAAGGUGCACCCUUUUUGGUGGCUCGUGCGAGCUAUAGCUGAAGAGGGUCGCAGAAACCAGGCCGCUGCGACUGUUUAUCAAAAACACAGCACUCUGCAAACACGAAAGUGGACGUAUAGGGUGUGACGCCUGCCCGGUGCUGGAAGGUUAAUUGAUGGGGUCAGCCGCAAGGCGAAGCUCUUGAUCGAAGCCCCAGUAAACGGCGGCCGUAACUAUAACGGUCCUAAGGUAGCGAAAUUCCUUGUCGGGUAAGUUCCGACCUGCACGAAUGGCGUAACGACAGCGGCGCUGUCUCCACCCGAGACUCAGUGAAAUUGAAAUCGCUGUGAAGAUGCAGCGUUCCCGUGGCAAGACGGAAAGACCCCGUGAACCUUUACUAUAGCUUUACACUGAACGUUGAGUUCGUCUGUGUAGGAUAGGUGGGAGGCUAUGAAACUGUGGCGCUAGCUGCAGUGGAGCCAUCCUUGAAAUACCACCCUGUCGUGCUUGACGUUCUAACCUAGGUCCGUUAUCCGGAUCAGGGACCGUGUAUGGUGGGUAGUUUGACUGGGGCGGUCUCCUCCUAAAGAGUAACGGAGGAGCACGAAGGUACGCUCAGCGCGGUCGGACAUCGCGCACUGUGUGCAAAGGCAUAAGCGUGCUUGACUGCAAGAUCGACGGAUCAAGCAGGUACGAAAGUAGGUCUUAGUGAUCCGGUGGUUCUGUAUGGAAGGGCCAUCGCUCAACGGAUAAAAGGUACUCCGGGGAUAACAGGCUGAUACCGCCCAAGAGUUCAUAUCGACGGCGGUGUUUGGCACCUCGAUGUCGGCUCAUCACAUCCUGGGGCUGUAGUCGGUCCCAAGGGUAUGGCUGUUCGCCAUUUAAAGUGGUACGCGAGCUGGGUUCAGAACGUCGUGAGACAGUUCGGUCCCUAUCUGCCAUGGGCGUUGGAAGUUUGAGAGGGGCUGCUCCUAGUACGAGAGGACCGGAGUGGACGAACCUCUGGUGUUCCGGUUGUCACGCCAGUGGCAUUGCCGGGUAGCUAUGUUCGGAAGCGAUAACCGCUGAAAGCAUCUAAGCGGGAAGCGCGCCUCAAGAUGAGACUUCCCGGGGCACAAGCCCCCUAAAGGAACCAUGUAGACUACGUGGUUGAUAGGUCAGGUGUGUAAGUACAGCAAUGUAUUGAGCUAACUGAUACUAAUGAUCCGUGCGGCUUGACC
rnacentral:rRNA from 1 species